GCCAAGGUAGCUCAGUGGUAGAGCAGAGGCCUGAAAAGCCUUGUGUCGGCAGUUCGAUUCUGCCUCUUGGCA
rnacentral:tRNA from 1 species